CAAAAUAUUAUUUAUGCCAGGGGGAGUCAAAUGGCGGCACCCAGAUAAUUUUUAUCUGGCCCUCCAACUGGUUUUUGAUGUUUAAAACCGCUCGCAAUCUGAUAUCAAAGUCCCCGCAAAGGUUUAGCGUUUUCAGCGUGAAUGUCAACCCGUUCUCACGCUGAAGAAGUCUCCUUCAGAACACAUCGCGAUAUUUGGCAUCAGUUCGCGUGUGCUGGAUGUUGGUAAGUAGUCGUAAAUACGCUGUUCUAAUGUUUGAUAUAAUGUCUUUUCUGUUUGCAGAUAUUAAUCAGAUUAACGUUAGCUCCCUCAUGUUCAGUCACUGCAUUAUAUCUGUCACCUCCGCUAAGGUUUUGCUUUUCAUUGUUUUCUAUAUUAAAUAGUACUAAACUAGGGUGAUUAAACACUGUCACGUGACGUGCAAUAUAUUGCACAAUAUAUAUAACAUAUUCAUAUCAGGUUCAAAGUAGUACAAGUGUAGUUUCAAAAUGGUAUUUGUUGUAGAAGCACGGUAAAAAAACAACACUUACCAUGCUUUUUACCACAGUAUUGGUAGUUUUAAUUAGAUUUUUGUUGUAAAUACAGAGUAACCACAACACUUAUCAUGCUUUUAAUGCCUAAUAAUGUUAAAUCCAAAAACUGUAAGGUCAAUAAGAACUUCUUUCCUAUAUAUAUUUAUAUAUAAACCUAUAUAUUAUAAAUAAUGAUAUUUUCUUUUCUCUUGUUUUAGCUGAAAAGACAAAAAGGGCCUUUUGGAAAUGGAUGAAGGAGACAGAAAGCUGCAAAGGCAAAUAAUUGCAAUGGAUUACUUGCAGAUUACUUAGUCCUUCUUUUUAGGAUCUCUACAACAUCAAACUCAACAGCUCUUUUAAGAGCCGACCCUCACAAGAGCUACUAGUGAGUCGCUGCAAACCUGCCGUGAUCAGCCCUUUCCAGAGAAGGAAGACCAGUCCUUAUAUCAAAACAAGCUCAUCGAAGUCCUUUGUUUAGGGUGAGGAAGGAACAUGACCAUCUCAUGACCAUCUCAUGCCCAAAGAAGACAGAAGUCCAUUGCAAGUGAAGUCACUAACAGAAGAUCCUAGAGGAAAAACGACUGAUGUGCAGCUACGGAGGAACACAAGAGGCAGAAAUAUGCAUGGCCAUGGCUUCUUCAUGAGUACGACCAGGACUGAAGAACGCCUGACAAUGGGAUGUUAAGACUUCUUCCUCUGGUUGAGAAAAAGCUACAGCACAUCAGUGAUCACAUCUUCUGGUCAUCAGUUGUACUGUAGAGUACAACUGAACAAACUGUUUAGAAGAAGAAGAACAUGAACAUGAUAGAGACGUGUACAGGGAAGAGCAAGAACCCAGUUCAGCUGUGAUAAUGAAUCUUUAUUUUAAACUCAAUAUCAAAUCUGUUUUCUGGAUCAUAGUUGACUGGAUGGGAUUCUGUGGCGCUCAUUUGUGCAAUAGGAGUAAAGUCUGUGAAUGGAUUAUUAUGACAUUAACGUAUUUUUGAAGACACGUUUUUAUUUAUCUUGAAUCUCAUUUGUCUUUAUGCAAAUUUCAACCUUAUGCUGUAUCCUCCAAUAAAGUGUUGUGUAAUAAAUUAUGGUGAACGUG